CAGCCGCCGCGGGAAUACGGAGGGUGCAAGCGUUAAUCGGAAUUACUGGGCGUAAAGCGCACGCAGGCGGUCUGACAAGUCAGAUGUGAAAUCCCCGGGCUCAACCUGGGAACUGCCUUUGUGACUGCAAGGCUAGAGUACGGCAGAGGGGGAUGGAAUUCCGCGUGUAGCAGUGAAAUGCGUAGAUAUGCGGAGGAACACCGAUGGCGAAGGCAAUCCCCUGGGCCUGUACUGACGCUCAUGCACGAAAGCGUGGGGAGCAAACAGGAUUAGAUACCCCGGUAGUCCCUGUCUCUUAUAC
rnacentral:rRNA from 1 species